UUCUUCUUUAACGAGAAUGGUGCUCAUUCACUUUACCGCCCCUUGACUAUGGGCGAGUGGAGGGGAAAGAGCAUCUAGAUUGAUGCUAUCGAUUUACGUCUCAUACUAAACUGUCUAUCUUAUGGCACGUUUGGAUUCUGCGUUGUCGACACAAAC
rnacentral:snoRNA from 1 species